rnacentral:lncRNA from 1 species
AAAAACUAAUAGUAUUUGCGGAACCGAAAGUACUAUAACACAUUAACACUUAUUUAUUUCACGCCACAUUUUAUAGAUCUUCGUUUAUUUUUUCAUUCUUUAUGAUGUUUUACGAUGCAAUGAAUUGAUUAUUCUGUUCCCUCUAACUUUGUGACUUUAAACAAUGUCCCGAAGUUGUUGACACAUCCUAAGUUUUCAAAACGUAGUGUACCCUUUUCUUUCAUAUCGAAUGUGAAUCCACAUUUACUACUUUUACAAAAAAAAAAAAAAAAAAAAAUCACAACGAAGAAAACAAUAUCUUAAAUAUUUGACAUUAAACCCACCAAAACCCAUUUCUAUAAGUUAGUCUUUUUAUUUAAC